rnacentral:rRNA from 1 species
UACAGAGGAGCCAAGCGUUGUCCGGAUUGACUGGGCGUAAAGCGCACGCAGGCGGACGCGCGCGUGGGGUGUGAAAUCUGGCCGCUUAACGGCCAGGCGCCAUCCCAUACGGCGCGUCUGGAGUGAUGCAGAGGUCGAUGGAAUUGCCGGUGUAGUGGUGAAAUGCGUAGAGAUCGGCAGGAACACCCAGGGGGAAACCAGUCGACUGGGCAUCUACUGACGCUGAGGUGCGAGAGCGUGGGGAGCAAACAGG